UUGAAAUUCAGCCACAACAACCGAGAUGUACUGAGAAGAAACGAGUUUUCCCCGUCGUCUCGACAUUUGCCUGAUGUUGGAUUCUAAACAUCGUCUCUCGGUCGGAGUUGAGAAGGAUUACAUGGAUGGAUGGUACGACGGUUCUGAAGUGCUCCGAAGAGAGAAGAGGACACAUGUAAUGGAGGGAAAACGAAACGGCGAGUCCUGGGUUGCUCAUGUGCUACGUUUGCCAGUUCUCAUUCUCGAAAGGCAAACUCCCUAUCCGAAAAGUUUUGGAAGGCAAUUUAUCCACAGAUCCCUACGGCAACGAGGCGAAUUGCUGCCCGACAAUUUGAGGACUAUGGAGAGAGAAGUGCAUCAAACUUCUACGACUCAGAUGGGAGGGUAUGGAACACAUUCAUGGGUCGGGAUUGAUUGAUACUGUCAGAUAUACUGGAGAUGGUCGAGGCGGGUAAUAAUACUGAUGCUGUAUAUUUCCAAGGCUCGAAAGGAAUCGUCGUAUUUCUAAACGCAUUUUCACACAAUUUGAGAGCGAUUUGAUAAGAGACGUGUUAUAAUAAACUGUACACACUGUC